AUUGAACGCUGGCGGAAUGCUUUACACAUGCAAGUCGAACGGCAGCACGGGGGCAACCCUGGUGGCGAGUGGCGAACGGGUGAGUAAUACAUCGGAACGUGCCCAGUCGUGGGGGAUAACGUAGCGAAAGUUACGCUAAUACCGCAUACGAUCUACGGAUGAAAGCGGGGGACCGUAAGGCGUCGCGCGAUUGGAGCGGCCGAUGGCAGAUUAGGUAGUUGGUGAGGUAAAGGCUCACCAAGCCGACGAUCUGUAGCUGGUCUGAGAGGACGACCAGCCACACUGGGACUGAGAAACGGCCCAGACUCCUACGGGAGGCAGCAGUGGGGAAUUUUGGACAAUGGGCGCAAGCCUGAUCCAGCCAUUCCGCGUGCAGGACGAAGGCCUUCGGGUUGUAAACUGCUUUUGUACGGAACGAAAAGGCUCUGGUUAAUACCUGGGGCUCAUGACGGUACCGUAAGAAUAAGCACCGGCUAACUACGUGCCAGCCGCCGCCGUAA
rnacentral:rRNA from 1 species